rnacentral:rRNA from 1 species
GACUACUGGUGUAUCUAAUCCUGUUUGCUCCCCACACUUUCGUGCCUCAGCGUCAGUUACAGUCCAGAAAGUCGCCUUCGCCACUGAUGUUCCUCCUAAUAUCUACGCAUUCCACCGCUACACUAGGAAUUCCACUUUCCUCUACUGCACUCAAGUAUAGCAGUUUUAGAAGCAGCACCUGAGUUAAGCUCUAGGUAUUUCACUUCUAACUUGCUACACCGCCUACACACCCUUUACGCCCAGUCAUUCCGAACAACGCUUGCCCCCUACGUAUUACCGCGGCUGCUGGCACGUAGUUAGCCGGGGCUUAUUCCUUGGGUACCGUCAUUUUUUUCGUCCCCAAUUAAAGAACUUUACAAUCCGAAGACCUUCUUCAUUCAUGCGGCAUUGCUGGGUAAGAGUUGCCUCCAUUGCCCAAUAUUCCCCACUGCUGCCACCCGUAGG